rnacentral:rRNA from 1 species
AUUGAACGCUGGCGGCAGGCCUAACACAUGCAAGUCGAGCGAGCGGCGGAGGGGGGAGGAAUGUAUGGGGACUGCCCGUUAGAGGGGGAUAACUGCUGGAAAAGGUAUCUAAUACCGCGUACUAUGGGAUUACGCAUAUGGGAUUAGCUAGUAGGGGGGGGAAUGGCUCACCUGGGCGACGAUCCCUAGCUGGUCUGAGAGGAUGAGCAGCCACACGGCGACGGAGACACGGCCCAGACUCCUACGGAGGCAGCAGUGGGGAAUAUUGCACAAUGGGCGCAAGCCUGAUGCAGCAAUGCCGCGUGUGUGAAGAAGGCCCUAGGGUUGUAAAGUACUUUCAGUCGGGAGGCGUUACCGACAGAAGAAGCACCGGCUAACUCCGUGCCAGCAGCCGCGGUAAUAC